rnacentral:misc_RNA from 1 species
GAUCGGUAUUGGUUCCGAUCGCGAUCAUGCGCGGCUCGUAGCCCGGCGCGGACAGUUCCUUUUGGAGCAGUUCCGGGGCGUCGGGCUUGGCGAACAAUUUGGACUCGAAAUCGAGCCCCGGCGACAAUCCCAGAUAGGCGUGGGUCGGACGCGCGAAGCAAUAAACGCAGCCGUGCUCGCAUCCCCGGUACGGGUUGAUCGAGCGGUCGAAGCCGAUGUCCGGCGAGUCGUUGCGGGUGAUGA